AGGCUCUUCCCCUGGAAACACAUAUAUUGUAAAUAAAUAUUUUGCCGUUUCCAUCAACUUUAUCACGUGAUGUUCUAUAACUGUUGUCUUGUACACUAUCCAUAGUGUAAGUCAGCUGGCUCGAGGAAUUUUCAUAUAGUAUUAUCAUUAAACAACAUACCCUAUGCAACAGUUAUGUUGCUACCCAGACAAAACUAUUUUUAUAUUCUAUGUUAAAUGUAAACGAUCAGUUUUUAUUAUAAAUACAAAACCACCUUUUAAGCGGUAAUACCUAUCACGCAUUAAACAACAUAUAUGAACAACCAUGUGAUUAUAAAGUCUCACGUUGGUUCCUCCGUGCAACUUCAUGCCUGACUUACAUUCAUAUUGUUCUUUCACCACACUUACGCUUCUCCAAAUUUAGAAAGAAGCUGUGUACACAGUGUUCUUGCGAGUUACAAUAACGCGUCCGGUUUGGCGGCAACUUCAAAGAGUGGACAUAUGGUUGCUCCUUCAGGUAGCUAUAAUUACCCUCUCUAUAAUGCAAUAUCGUAUUAUCCAUUUGUAAUGAAUGAUAGUAACACUAAAUCGGAUUGGAUUCAGUUAAAUCUACAUUUCUCAAGGUCUCUAACAUCGAGAUUUGAAAUAUCUUUCAUGUAAAUACCUUCUUUGUCAUGUGACUUGUAUAUAUUCGUGUAUAUUCAGAAUCGUACCUACGCACAAUGUCUUUGAACAAUGGCACAAGCAACGUGGUCUCUUUCUGUAAAACAUAGCACUCUUUAUUUCAGCCACAGCAAAGAUCCCGAACCACGUGCAGUCAGCAGAGUUACAGCGUCUGGUUACCGUCUUGCAGUUACGAUACAGAAUAUGUGCACAAAGCUUUCAAUGACCAGACGAAAAAAAGAAUUCAUUUCAAGUAUGUUGAGAAGAAAACGACCCAUCUCUGAAAAAAUCACCUCACCCAAGAAAAUACGACUCAUUCAUGAGAAUGAAAAGUGCAAAGUCUCCCAAGAAAUUGUCUUGUAAUAUAGCAUGUGAAUAAAUAAUUUUUUGAA